CCAUUUUUUAAUAUAAUACAUAUAUAUAGGUCCCCAUAAAGUAGCCUUGUUAUGCACCUCUGGCCUAAAAACUGUGUGGUUAGGUGUAAUUAUUAAUUUCAUAGCGUAGUGUAGUGUCUCAUUUAGGAAAGAUCAGCCAUGACUUGUUCAGUGUAGUGAGUGAAUAGCACAGCGACUGAGACGCCUCAGGGAGGAGCUUCUUUCUUACUAAAGUAAAUGGGGUGCUAACUGUGGAAAUGGCAACCCUGCUCAGGCCACGCCUCUUCUGGGCGUGGCCUUUAAUAGGAAGGCAGAGGUGCCAAUCAUGUGGGUGGAGGCGGAGCCUCUGUCAUAAUAUGAUGUUUUGACAAUGUUUGUGAUGUUUCAGUUGGUUUCUUUGAUCCCUGCAUAGUUUAUAAUAUCCAAAAAACAAAAAAAAAACUACAUUCAAGGUUACUUCUGUAACAUUAUUACCAAAUGUCUUCAAGACAGUGCCCAUGGUUCUAGAGUGUAUGUAGUCAGUAGUGUAGAGUUAGCGGCUGACAGAGUCAUACUGAUAGAAAUUUAAACCUUCUUUCA